CAAUUUAUUACAAACAAGAAUGUGUCCAAAGUACACGGAUGCCCCACUCGCACUAUCAUUUUCCAUGUUCAAUGGACCGUGAAAAUGGGUAAAAAAUAUAAUUAGGCAUUAAAAUUAGAAAGAUCAUAUCAUAGGGAACAUUUGUACUAAGUUUCAAGUUGAUUGGACUUCAACUUCAUCAAAAACUACCUUGACCAAAAACUUUAACCUGAAACUCGCACUUUCAUUUUCUAUGUUCAGUGUACCGUGAAAUUGGUCAAAAGUUUAAUUUGUCUUUAAAAUUAGAAAGAUCAUAUCAUAAGGAACAUAUGUACUAAGUUUCAAGUUGAUUGGACUUCAGCUUCAUCAAAAACUACCUUGACCAAAAACUUUAACCUGAAGCGGGACAGACGGACGAACGAACGGACGGACGGACGAACGGACGCACAGACCAGAAAACAUAAUGCCCCUCUACUAUCGUAGGUGGGGCACA
rnacentral:lncRNA from 1 species